rnacentral:rRNA from 1 species
UACGAAGGGGGCUAGCGUUGCUCGGAAUCACUGGGCGUAAAGCGCACGUAGGCGGCUUUCUAAGUCAGGGGUGAAAUCCUGGAGCUCAACUCCAGAACUGCCUUUGAUACUGGAGAGCUUGAGUCCGGAAGAGGUGAGUGGAACUCCGAGUGUAGAGAUGAAAUUCGUAGAUAUUCGGAAGAACACCAGUGGCGAAGGCGGGUUGCUAGGCUGACACUGACGCUGAGUGCGCGAAAGCCAGGGGAGCAAACGGG